UCGGGAAUUUUGGGCAAUGGGCGAAAGCCUGACCCAGCAACGCCGCGUGAGGGAUGAAGUAUUUCGGCAUGUAAACCUCGAAAGAAUGGGAAGAAUAAAUGACGGUACCAUUUAUAAGCUCCGGCUAACUACGUGCCAGCAGCCGCGGUAAUACGUAGGGAGCAAGCGUUGUUCGGAUUUACUGGGCGUAAAGGGCGCGUAGGCGGCGCGGUAAGUCACUUGUGAAAUCUCUGAGCUUAACUCAGAACGGCCAAGUGAUACUGCUGUGCUAGAGGGCGGAAGAGGCAACCGGAAUUCUUGGUGUAGCGGUGAAAUGCGUAGAUAUCAAGAGGAACACCUGAGGCGAAGGCGGGUUGCUGGGCCGACACUGACGCUGAUGCGCGAAAGCCAGGGGAGCAAACG
rnacentral:rRNA from 1 species